UACGUAGGGCGCAAGCGUUGUCCGGAUUUAUUGGGCGUAAGAGCUCGUAGGCGGCCUGUCGCGUCGACCGUGAAAACCCGCAGCUCAACUGCGGGCUUGCGGUCGAUACGGGCAGGCUGGAGUUCGGUAGGGGAGACUGGAAUUCCUGGUGUAGCGGUGAAAUGCGCAGAUAUCAGGAGGAACACCGGUGGCGAAGGCGGGUCUCUGGGCCGAUACUGACGCUGAGGAGCGAAAGCGUGGGGAGCGAACAGG
rnacentral:rRNA from 1 species